rnacentral:rRNA from 1 species
UUGCUGGGGUGRAUUAGUGGCGAACGGGUGAGUAACACGUGAGUAACCUGCCCUCCACUUCGGGAUAACGCCUGGAAACGGGUGCUAAUACCGGAUAUGACGCGCUAUCGCAUGGUGGUGUGUGGAAAGACUGUGUUGGUGGGGGAUGGGCUCGCGGCCUAUCAGCUUGUUGGUGGGGUGAUGGCCUACCAAGGCGGUGACGGGUAGCCGGCCUGAGAGGGUGACCGGCCACACUGGGACUGAGACACGGCCCAGACUCCUACGGGAGGCAGCAGUGGGGAAUAUUGCACAAUGGGCGGAAGCCUGAUGCAGCGACGCCGCGUGAGGGAUGACGGCCUUCGGGUUGUAAACCUCUUUCGGUAGGGAAGAAGCCUUCGGGUGACGGUACCUGCGGAAGAAGCGCCGGCUAACUACGUGCCAGCAGCCGCGGUAAUACGUAGGGCGCAAGCGUUGUCCGGAAUUAUUGGGCGUAAAGAGCUCGUAGGCGGCCUGUCGCGUCUGCUGUGAAAGCCCGGGGCUUAACUCCGGGUCUGCAGUGGGUACGGGCGGGCUGGAGUGCGGUAGGGGAGACUGGAAUUCCUGGUGUAGCGGUGGAAUGCGCAGAUAUCAGGAGGAACACCGGUGGCGAAGGCGGGUCUCUGGGCCGUUACUGACGCUGAGGAGCGAAAGCAUGGGGAGCGAACAGGAUUAGAUACCCUGGUAGUCCAUGCCGUAAACGUUGGGCACUAGGUGUGGGGCCUGUUUCCACGGGUUCUGUGCCGUAGCUAACGCAUUAAGUGCCCCGCCUGGGGAGUACGGCCGCAAGGCUAAAACUCAAAGGAAUUGACGGGGGCCCGCACAAGCGGCGGAGCAUGCGGAUUAAUUCGAUGCAACGCGAAGAACCUUACCAAGGCUUGACAUGCACCGGACGCAUCCAGAGAUGGGUGUUCCCUUUGGGUCGGUGCACAGGUGGUGCAUGGUUGUCGUCAGCUCGUGUCGUGAGAUGUUGGGUUAAGUCCCGCAACGAGCGCAACCCUCGUCCUGUGUUGCCAGCGGGUUAUGCCGGGGACUCAUGGGAGACUGCCGGGGUCAACUCGGAGGAAGGUGGGGAUGACGUCAAAUCAUCAUGCCCCUUAUGUCUUGGGCUUCACGCAUGCUACAAUGGCCGGUACAAUGGGUUGCGAUGCCGUGAGGUGGAGCGAAUCCCAAAA